rnacentral:rRNA from 1 species
AUUGAACGCUGGCGGCAGGCCUAACACAUGCAAGUCGAGCGGAGCGGCGGACGGGUGCGUAAGUCCUAGGAAUCUGCCUGAUCGUGGGGGAUAACGUCCGGAAACGGGCGCUAAUACCGCAUACUAUCAGAUGGGCCUAGGUCGGAUUAGAUAGUUGGUGGGGUAAAGGCCUACCAAGGCGAAGAUCCGUAACUGGUCUGAGAGGAUGAGCAGGCACACUGGAACGGAGACACGGUCCAGACCCAUACGGGAGGCAGCAGAGGGGAAUAUUGGACAAUGGGCGAAAGCCUGAUCCAGCCAUGCCGCGUGUGUGAAGAGGUGCUUCGUAUUGUAAAGCACGUUAAGUUGUGAGGCGUUACCAACAGAAUAAGCACCGGCUAACUCCGUGCCAGCAGCCGCGGUAAUAC